UUACGAUCACACCGCAUUGGAACACCGGUACAUGUACGAAAACCGAAGUUAAGCAACGUCGAGCCUGGUUAUCAUUUAGAUGGGUGACCGCUUGGGAAUACUAGGUGCUAUA